rnacentral:rRNA from 1 species
CUCGGCAACGGAUAUCUCGGCUCUCGCAUCGAUGAAGAACGUAGCGAAAUGCGAUACUUGGUGUGAAUUGCAGAAUCCCGUGAACCAUCGAGUCUUUGAACGCAAGUUGCGCCCAAAGCUUCGGCUGAGGGCACGUCUGCCUGGGUGUCACGC